rnacentral:rRNA from 1 species
GAUUUCUGGUAUAGUGCGCUUGGCCCGCCACGGUUACGUGCGUGAGUGCCGGUGCGUGUCUGCCAUCCUUCUGGUAAACGUGUCUACCCUUCACUGGGCCGGAUACGCGAACCAGAUCAUUUACUUUGAAAAAAUUAGAGUGUUUAAAGCAGGCUUUUUGCUAUGAAUACAUUAGCAUGGAAUAAUAAUUUAGGACUUUGGCCCUAUUUUGUUGGUUUCUAGGACUGAAGUAAUGAUUGAUAGGGAUAGUUGGGGGUGCUCGAAUUCAGCGGCCAGAGGUGAAAUUCUUGGAUUCGCUGAAGACGAACUCAUGCGAAAGCAUU